AUCAUGGAGUAUAAUAAUUAAAUUUAAUAAAUUUAAUAUAACUAUUAAUAGAAUUAGGUUACUAAUAAAUUAAUAACAAUUAAUUUUAAAACCUAAAGGUAAACCUUUAUAUUAAUAAUGUUUUUUUUUUAUUAUUUUUUUAUAAUAAGAAUAAUUAUUAAUAAUAAUAAACUAAGUGAACUGAAACAUCUAAGUAACUUAAGGAUAAGAAAUCAACAGAGAUAUUAUGAGUAUUGGUGAGAGAAAAUAAUAAAGGUCUAAUAAGUAUUAUGUGAAAAAAAUGUAAGAAAAUAGGAUAACAAAUUCUAAGACUAAAUACUAUUAAUAAGUAUAGUAAGUACCGUAAGGGAAAGUAUGAAAAUGAUUAUUUUAUAAGCAAUCAUGAAUAUAUUAUAUUAUAUUAAUGAUGUACCUUUUGUAUAAUGGGUCAGCAAGUAAUUAAUAUUAGUAAAACAAUAAGUUAUAAAUAAAUAGAAUAAUAUAUAUAUAUAUAAAAAUAUAUUAAAAUAUUUAAUUAAUAUUAAUUGACCCGAAAGCAAACGAUCUAACUAUGAUAAGAUGGAUAAACGAUCGAACAGGUUGAUGUUGCAAUAUCAUCUGAUUAAUUGUGGUUAGUAGUGAAAGACAAAUCUGGUUUGCAGAUAGCUGGUUUUCUAUGAAAUAUAUGUAAGUAUAGCCUUUAUAAAUAAUAAUUAUUAUAUAAUAUUAUAUAAAUAUUAUAUAAAGAAUGGUACAGCAAUUAAUAUAUAUUAGGGAACUAUUAAAGUUUUAUUAAUAAUAUUAAAUCUCGAAAUAUUUAAUUAUAUAUAAUAAAGAGUCAGAUUAUGUGCGAUAAGGUAAAUAAUCUAAAGGGAAACAGCCCAGAUUAAGAUAUAAAGUUCCUAAUAAAUAAUAAGUGAAAUAAAUAUUAAAAUAUUAUAAUAUAAUCAGUUAAUGGGUUUGACAAUAACCACUUUUUAAUGAACAUGUAACAAUGCACUGAUUUAUAAUAAAUAAAAAAUAAUAUUUAAAAUCAAAUAUAUAUAUAUAUAUAUAUUUGUUAAUAGAUAAUAUACGGAUCUUAAUAAUAAGAAUUAUUUAAUUCCUAAUAUGGAAUAUUAUAUUUUUAUAAUAAAAAUAUAAAUACUGAAUAUCUAAAUAUUAUUAUUACUUUUUUUUUUUAAUAAUAAUAAUAUGGUAAUAGAACAUUUAAUGAUAAUAUAUAUUAGUUAUUAAUUAAUAUAUGUAUUAAUUAAAUAGAGAAUGCUGACAUGAGUAACGAAAAAAAGGUAUAAACCUUUUCACCUAAAACAUAAGGUUUAACUAUAAAAGUACGGCCCCUAAUUAAAUUAAUAAGAAUAUAAAUAUAUUUAAGAUGGGAUAAUCUAUAUUAAUAAAAAUUUAUCUUAAAAUAUAUAUAUUAUUAAUAAUUAUAUUAAUAAUAUAUAUAAUUAUAUUAUAUAUUUUUUUUAUAUAAUAUAAACUAAUAAAGAUCAGGAAAUAAUUAAUGUAUACCGUAAUGUAGACCGACUCAGGUAUGUAAGUAGAGAAUAUGAAGGUGAAUUAGAUAAUUAAAGGGAAGGAACUCGGCAAAGAUAGCUCAUAAGUUAGUCAAUAAAGAGUAAUAAGAACAAAGUUGUACAACUGUUUACUAAAAACACCGCACUUUGCAGAAACGAUAAGUUUAAGUAUAAGGUGUGAACUCUGCUCCAUGCUUAAUAUAUAAAUAAAAUUAUUUAACGAUAAUUUAAUUAAAUUUAGGUAAAUAGCAGCCUUAUUAUGAGGGUUAUAAUGUAGCGAAAUUCCUUGGCCUAUAAUUGAGGUCCCGCAUGAAUGACGUAAUGAUACAACAACUGUCUCCCCUUUAAGCUAAGUGAAAUUGAAAUCGUAGUGAAGAUGCUAUGUACCUUCAGCAAGACGGAAAGACCCUAUGCAGCUUUACUGUAAUUAGAUAGAUCGAAUUAUUGUUUAUUAUAUUCAGCAUAUUAAGUAAUCCUAUUAUUAGGUAAUCGUUUAGAUAUUAAUGAGAUACUUAUUAUAAUAUAAUGAUAAUUCUAAUCUUAUAAAUAAUUAUUAUUAUUAUUAUUAAUAAUAAUAAUAAUAUGCUUUCAAGCAUAGUGAUAAAACAUAUUUAUAUGAUAAUCACUUUACUUAAUAGAUAUAAUUCUUAAGUAAUAUAUAAUAUAUAUUAUAUAUAUAUUAUAUAUAAUAUAAGAGACAAUCUCUAAUUGGUAGUUUUGAUGGGGCGUCAUUAUCAGCAAAAGUAUCUGAAUAAGUCCAUAAAUAAAUAUAUAAAAUUAUUGAAUAAAAAAUAAUAUAUAUUAUAUAUAUUAAUUAUAAAUUGAAAUAUGUUUAUAUAAAUUUAUAUUUAUUGAAUAUAUUUUAGUAAUAGAUAAAAAUAUGUACAGUAAAAUUGUAAGGAAAACAAUAAUAACUUUCUCCUCUCUCGGUGGGGGUUCACACCUAUUUUUAAUAGGUGUGAACCCCUCUUCGGGGUUCCGGUUCCCUUUCGGGUCCCGGAACUAAAAAAUAAUUAUGGAAAGAAUUAAAUUAAUAUAAUGGUAUAACUGUGCGAUAAUUGUAACACAAACGAGUGAAACAAGUACGUAAGUAUGGCAUAAUGAACAAAUAACACUGAUUGUAAAGGUUAUUGAUAACGAAUAAAAGUUACGCUAGGGAUAACAGGGUAAUAUAACGAAAGAGUAGAUAUUGUAAGUUAUGUUUGCCACCUCGAUGUCGACUCAACAUUUCCUCUUGGUUGUAAAAGCUAAGAAGGGUUUGACUGUUCGUCAAUUAAAAUGUUACGUGAGUUGGGUUAAAUACGAUGUGAAUCAGUAUGGUUCCUAUCUGCUGAAGGAAAUAUUAUCAAAUUAAAUCUCAUUAUUAGUACGCAAGGACCAUAAUGAAUCAACCCAUGGUGUAUCUAUUGAUAAUAAUAUAAUAUAUUUAAUAAAAAUAAUACUUUAUUAAUAUAUUAUCUAUAUUAGUUUAUAUUUUAAUUAUAUAUUAUCAUAGUAGAUAAGCUAAGUUGAUAAUAAAUAAAUAUUGAAUACAUAUUAAAUAUGAAGUUGUUUUAAUAAGAUAAUUAAUCUGAUAAUUUUAUACUAAAAUUAAUAAUUAUAGGUUUUAUAUAUUAUUUAUAAAUAAAUAUAUUAUAAUAAUAAUAAUUAUUAUUAUUAAUAAAAAAUAU
rnacentral:rRNA from 1 species